UUGACCUCGGAUCAGGUAGGGAUACCCGCUGAACUUAAGCAUAUCAAUAAGCGGAGGAAAAGAAACCAACCGGGAUUGCCUCAGUAACGGCGAGUGAAGCGGCAAGAGCUCAAAUUUGAAAGCUGGCUCCUUCGGAGUCCGCAUUGUAAUUUGCAGAGGAUGCUUUGGGUGCGGCCCCCGUCUAAGUGCCCUGGAACGGGCCGUCAGAGAGGGUGAGAAUCCCGUCUUGGGCGGGGUGUCCGUGCCCGUGUAAAGCUCCUUCGACGAGUCGAGUUGUUUGGGAAUGCAGCUCUAAAUGGGUGGUAAAUUUCAUCUAAAGCUAAAUACUGGCCGGAGACCGAUAGCGCACAAGUAGAGUGAUCGAAAGAUGAAAAGCACUUUGAAAAGAGAGUUAAACAGCACGUGAAAUUGUUGAAAGGGAAGCGCUUGCGACCAGACUCGCCCGCGGGGUUCAGCCGGCAUUCGUGCCGGUGUACUUCCCCGUGGGCGGGCCAGCGUCGGUUUGGGCGGCCGGUCAAAGGCCCCUGGAAUGUAGUGCCCUCCGGGGCACCUUAUAGCCAGGGGUGCAAUGCGGCCAGCCUGGACCGAGGAACGCGCUUCGGCACGGACGCUGGCAUAAUGGUCGUAA
rnacentral:rRNA from 1 species